rnacentral:rRNA from 1 species
GGGCCCGCACAAGCGGCGGAGCAUGCGGAUUAAUUCGAUGCAACGCGAAGAACCUUACCUGGGUUUGACAUCACUCGAAAACUCGCAGAGAUGCGGGGUCCUUCGGGGCGGGUGACAGGUGGUGCAUGGCUGUCGUCAGCUCGUGUCGUGAGAUGUUGGGUUAAGUCCCGCAACGAGCGCAACCCUCGUUCGAUGUUGCCAGCGGUUCGGCCGGGGACUCAUCGAAGACUGCCGGGGUCAACUCGGAGGAAGGUGGGGAUGACGUCAAGUCUUCAUGCCCCUUAUGUCCAGGGCUUCACGCAUGCUACAAUGGCCGGUACAAAGGGCUGCGAUGCCGUAAGGUGGAGCGAAUCCCAAAAAGCCGGUCUCAGUUCGGAUCGGGGUCUGCAACUCGACCCCGUGAAGUCGGAGUCGCUAGUAAUCGCAGAUCAGCAUUGCUGCGGUGAAUACGUUCCCGGGCCUU